GGAGGACGCGGUGCCGAGAGCGCGUCGGGGCCUCAGACGUGAGGAGUACCGUCCAACAAGCUCAAGAACUGGAGCUUGACACCCCUGGCCGAGACUGAAGAAGAUCCACUCACCUCAGAAUACCCGAUGCUUGAAGUGGCUCCAUCCAACAGCUGUUGAUCUCGCUGGCCCAGUAAAAGACGCCAUCUUCGAGGAAACCUUGGAUCCAAAAUACAGGCUGGUGGUUUGUGUACUCCAACCU